rfam:Ardenticatena maritima DNA, contig: NODE_20, strain: 110S.
AGCGCCCGACGGUGUGCGUGAUGCCGUCUGAUACGCACAGACCCUACACCAUACGGAAGGGGUCCGCGCUCCAGUAAGGCGGUGAUCUCGUGCACGACGGGUGAUCUGCCGGGCAGGACCCCACUUGGCAUGCGCGGGUUCUCGCGCGGGGCGGCACACGGCACCGUGGGGUGCUC